GUGAAUCAUCGAAUCUUUGAACGCAAAUUGCACUCUCUCCGGAGAGUAUGCCUGUUUGAGGGUCAGUAUUAAUAAAAAUCGGUGUGUUGCUUCUUUGUGACGCUCCGGAGUUUGGGUCAUCUUAAUACCCUUUAGGUUUUAAGAGGCUUAAAAUUGACUUUUUUGGCGCUUUUUAGUGUUCCUAAAUUCUUUUUUUUUUUUCUUUUGUUUUAUU
rnacentral:misc_RNA from 1 species